rfam:Lactobacillus selangorensis strain DSM 13344 Scaffold3, whole genome shotgun sequence.
UUUUCAUUCUUUUUUAUCAGAUUGAUUAGGUCUGUUUCUGAUAAAAGACGAUGAUAGGAAACCUUCUUAACGUACGAUCUCGCCGUGAAUUGACACCGAGGCCGUGCGUUUUUUU